rnacentral:rRNA from 1 species
UGGGGAAUUUUGGACAAUGGGGGACACCCUGAUCCAGCCAUGCCGCGUGAGUGAAGAAGGCCUUCGGGUUGUAAAGCUCUUUCAGACGGAAAGAAACGGUCACGAUUAAUACCCGUGACUAAUGACGGUACCGUCAGAAGAAGCACCGGCUAACUACGUGCCAGCAGCCGCGGUAAUACGUAGGGUGCGAGCGUUAAUCGGAAUUACUGGGCGUAAAGCGUGCGCAGGCGGUUUUGUAAGACAGACGUGAAAUCCCCGGGCUUAACCUGGGAACUGCGUUUGUGACUGCAAGGCUAGAGUGUGGCAGAGGGGGGUAGAAUUCCACGUGUAGCAGUGAAAUGCGUAGAUAUGUGGAGGAAUACCGAUGGCGAAGGCAGCCCCCUGGGUCAACACUGACGCUCAUGCACGAAAGCGUGGGGAGCAAACAGG